GCUGCAGGACAGGUUGGCUACUGGCUGAUCUUUGGAACUAGAAACAUCAUUUUGCUCCUUAAAUGAUUAAAAAAGGCACACAUGGGGCUUCUUUGUGUUAGUUCUUUUGUAUCUCCAUAUCCUGUCCCUGCAUGGAUUAUUUUGGUGCAUGCUGCAGACUUGUUUUUGGAACUUGAAUCCUGAGCAAGUGAGAAGACUUACUGGAUGCUGUUCAAGGCUCUGCAUGACAAACCUUGCACAAAUACAAGAGGUCCCAUUUGCCAACGCUGCUCCCAAGAUCUCCACCCACUACAAGAGAAGUACCAGGUCAAGGGUAUUGAUAGUGACUGAGGAACAGAACGUUACAAAUCCCACCUGGAAUUUUCUGAACCUACCUUGAAAGAAGGUCAGAGAAAUGGCAGCUGGAUCCAGGAAGAUGAGAAAUUUGAGCAGGCUUAGAAGUUGGCAGCCUACAACACAUUGAUUUGUGUCUUUUUUUUUUUUUUCAAGCCUACCUUUUCUUUGUCUUUUUCUGAUUUAUAAAGCUACAAAACCAAAUAUAAAUCUUGUAUUUGUAAGCCACUUUCCACAUUAUUCAUCUAAUAACCCUCUGUGUGGCAUACACAUUAUUUUUUCCAUAAACUGAAGCACCAUAGAGGGUGAGAAUGACUUGUCCAUUAUUUGGAUAUACAAUUUAUCUAUUCAUUCUUUUAUUGAUAGACAUUUCAGCUAUUUACACUUAGGGACUUUUAUAAAUAAAGUUACUAUGAACAUU
rnacentral:lncRNA from 10 species